GGGGGGAGGGAGAGAGAGGGGAAGCGAGAGAGAGAGAGAGAGAGAGGGGAAGAGGAAGAGGGAGGUAAGGCGGAUCUUAGUUAGAUGAAACAGACCCACACGUUUACAAUAGAAGCACCGUACCGUUUAGUUCAAAACGCUGUUUUCUACCGGUCCUGAGACUUUCUACUUUAACCAGCCUGUGCGUGCGUGACCUUUGACGCUCGGUGCGUCGCAGAGAGGACGAGGCGGUUCGGGAUCCGGCGACCAGCCGCUCGGACGUCCAAGGUGAUAAAAGUCAAGUAUUUCUUCCCAGAGAGAAGAGGAGUCUCAUGUACCACGCGCUGAUACAGAAGGGUUUGUGAAGCCAUUUUCAGCAGGUGACUGUCCUCUGAGUUCACCCCCCUCUUCCAGGAUGAACGGCUACCCCCCUCCCUCCUUCCCCCAGGGAGGGUUCGACUCAUACGCCUCGCAACUCAAUGGUCAUGGUUCCCAGUCCACAGAGCCUCCAGAUUGCAACGCCAGGUCCAACACCAAGUCCAUCUCUAAAACCCUUUACGAACAACGGAAGAACUACACCAAAAACAGCAUCAACAGCAUGACUAACACCUCCCAGUACCACGUAGAGGUCAGUCUACAUACAGCAUGACUACCACCCUCACAGUACCACGUAGAGGUCAGUCUACUACUGUACAUACAGCAUGACGAACACCUCCCAGUACCACGUAGAGGUCAGUCUACUACUGUACAUACAGCAUGACGAACACCUCCCAGUACCACGUAGAGGUCAGUCUACUACUGUACAUACAGCAUGACUACCAC
rnacentral:lncRNA from 1 species